GCUCUCGUGGCUUAAUGGAUAAGGCAUUUGACUUGUAAUCAAUGGAUUGUGGAUUCGAGUUCUAACGAGCGUG
rnacentral:tRNA from 1 species